CUACGGGUGGCUCCAGUGAGGAAUUUUGCGCAAUGGGGGCAACCCUGACGCAGCAACGCCGCGUGAGUGAAGAAGGCCUUUGGGUCGUAAAGCUCUGUCAACUGGGAAGAAGUUAAGAUUGUUUAAUAGAUGAUCUUAUUGACGGUACCAGUGGAGGAAGCGCCGGCUAACUCCGUGCCAGCAGCCGCGGUAACACGGGGGGCGCAAGCGUUAUUCGGAAUUAUUGGGCGUAAAGGGCGCGCAGGCGGUCUUGUCAGUCAGGUGUGAAAGCCCGGGGCUCAACCCUGGAAGUGCACUUGAAACAGCAAGACUUGAAUACGGGAGAGGAAAGCGGAAUUCCUGGUGUAGAGGUGAUAUUCGUAGAUAUCAGGAGGAACACCGAUGGCGAAGGCAGCUUUCUGGACCGAUAUUGACGCUGAGGCGCGAAGGCGUGGGUAGCGAACGGGAUUAGAUACCCCCGUAGUC
rnacentral:rRNA from 1 species